GAUGAGCGCUGGCGGCGUGCCUAAUACAUGCAAGUCGAGCGAACAGAUAAGGAGCUUGCUCCUUUGACGUUAGCGGCGGACGGGUGAGUAACACGUGGGUAACCUACCUAUAAGACUGGAAUAAUUCCGGGAAACCGGGGCUAAUGCCGGAUAACAUUUAGAACCGCAUGGUUCUAAAGUGAAAGAUGGUUUUGCUAUCACUUAUAGAUGGACCCGCGCCGUAUUAGCUAGUUGGUAAGGUAACGGCUUACCAAGGCAACGAUACGUAGCCGACCUGAGAGGGUGAUCGGCCACACUGGAACUGAGACACGGUCCAGACUCCUACGGGAGGCAGCAGUAGGGAAUCUGCCGCAAUGAGCGAAAGCCUGACGGAGCAACGCCGCGUGAGUGAUGAAGGUCUUCGGAUCGUAAAACUCUGUUAUUAGGGAAGAACAAAUGUGUAAGGAACUGUGCACGUCUUGACGGUACCUAAUCAGAAAGCCACGGCUAACUACGUG
rnacentral:rRNA from 1 species